UUAAGCGACUAAGCGUACACGGUGGAUGCCCUGGCAGUCAGAGGCGAUGAAGGACGUGCUAAUCUGCGAAAAGCGUCGGUAAGGUGAUAUGAACCGUUAUAGCCGGCGAUGUCCGAAUGGGGAAACCCAGUGUGAUUCGUCACACUAUCGUUAACUGAAUACAUAGGUUAACGAGGCGAACCGGGGGAACUGAAACAUCUAAGUACCCCGAGGAAAAGAAAUCAACCGAGAUUCCCCCAGUAGCGGCGAGCGAACGGGGAGCAGCCCAGAGUCUGAAUCAGCUUGUGUGUUAGUGGAACGGUCUGGAAAGUCCGACGGUACAGGGUGAUAGUCCCGUACACCAAAAUGCACAGGCUGUGAACUCGAAGAGUAGGGCGGGACACGUGGUAUCCUGUCUGAAUAUGGGGGGACCAUCCUCCAAGGCUAAAUACUCCUGACUGACCGAUAGUGAACCAGUACCGUGAGGGAAAGGCGAAAAGAACCCCGGCGAGGGGAGUGAAAAAGAACCUGAAACCGUGUACGUACAAGCAGUGGGAGCACCUUCGGGUGUGACUGCGUACCUUUUGUAUAAUGGGUCAGCGACUUAUAUUCUGUAGCAAGGUUAACCGUAUAGGGGAGCCGCAGGGAAACCGAGUCUUAACUGGGCGUUAAGUUGCAGGGUAUAGACCCGAAACCCGGUGAUCUAGCCAUGGGCAGGUUGAAGGUUGGGUAACACUAACUGGAGGACCGAACCGACUAAUGUUGAAAAAUUAGCGGAUGACUUGUGGCUGGGGGUGAAAGGCCAAUCAAACCGGGAGAUAGCUGGUUCUCCCCGAAAGCUAUUUAGGUAGCGCCUCGUGAANNNNNNNNNNNNNNNUCAUCUUCGGGGGUAGAGCACUGUUUCGGCUAGGGGGUCAUCCCGACUUACCAACCCGAUGCAAACUACGAAUACCGAAGAAUGUUAUCACGGGAGACACACGGCGGGUGCUAACGUCCGUCGUGAAGAGGGAAACAACCCAGACCGCCAGCUAAGGUCCCAAAGUCAUGGUUAAGUGGGAAACGAUGUGGGAAGGCACAGACAGCCAGGAUGUUGGCUUAGAAGCAGCCAUCAUUUAAAGAAAGCGUAAUAGCUCACUGGUCGAGUCGGCCUGCGCGGAAGAUGUAACGGGGCUAAACCAUGCACCGAAGCUGCGGCAGCGACACUAUGUGUUGUUGGGUAGGGGAGCGUUCUGUAAGCCUGCGAAGGUGNUGCUGGAGGUAUCAGAAGUGCGAAUGCUGACAUAAGUAACGAUAAAGCGGGUGAAAAGCCCGCUCGCCGGAAGACCAAGGGUUCCUGUCCAACGUUAAUCGGGGCAGGGUGAGUCGACCCCUAAGGCGAGGCCGAAAGGCGUAGUCGAUGGGAAACAGGUUAAUAUUCCUGUACUUGGUGUUACUGCGAAGGGGGGACGGAGAAGGCUAUGUUAGCCGGGCGACGGUUGUCCCGGUUUAAGCAUGUAGGCUGGUUAUCCAGGCAAAUCCGGAUAAUCAAGGCUGAGGUGUGAUGACGAGGCACUACGGUGCUGAAGUAACAAAUGCCCUGCUUCCAGGAAAAGCCUCUAAGCAUCAGGUAACAUCAAAUCGUACCCCAAACCGACACAGGUGGUCAGGUAGAGAAUACCAAGGCGCUUGAGAGAACUCGGGUGAAGGAACUAGGCAAAAUGGUGCCGUAACUUCGGGAGAAGGCACGCUGGUGUGUAGGUGAAGCCCCUGCGGGUGGAGCUGAGACCAGUCGAAGAUACCAGCUGGCUGCAACUGUUUAUUAAAAACACAGCACUGUGCAAACACGAAAGUGGACGUAUACGGUGUGACGCCUGCCCGGUGCCGGAAGGUUAAUUGAUGGGGUUAUCCGUAAGGAGAAGCUCUUGAUCGAAGCCCCGGUAAACGGCGGCCGUAACUAUAACGGUCCUAAGGUAGCGAAAUUCCUUGUCGGGUAAGUUCCGACCUGCACGAAUGGCGUAAUGAUGGCCAGGCUGUCUCCACCCGAGACUCAGUGAAAUUGAACUCGCUGUGAAGAUGCAGUGUACCCGCGGCAAGACGGAAAGACCCCGUGAACCUUUACUAUAGCUUGACACUGAACAUUGAGCCUUGAUGUGUAGGAUAGGUGGGAGGCUUUGAAGCGUGGACGCCAGUCUGCGUGGAGCCAACCUUGAAAUACCACCCUUUAAUGUUUGAUGUUCUAACGUUGGCCCCUUAUCGGGGUUGCGGACAGUGUCUGGUGGGUAGUUUGACUGGGGCGGUCUCCUCCCAAAGCGUAACGGAGGAGCACGAAGGUUAGCUAAUCCUGGUCGGACAUCAGGAGGUUAGUGCAAUGGCAUAAGCUAGCUUGACUGCGAGCGUGACGGCGCGAGCAGG
rnacentral:rRNA from 1 species